UGUCUUAUAAAUAAAGACCCGUAUGAAUGGCUAAAUGAAUAUUUAACUGUCUCCUUUAACUAAUCAGUGAAACUGAUCUUUCAGUACAAAAGCUGAAAUAUAAAUAUAAGACGAGAAGACCCUGUGGAGCUUUAAAUUUUUAUCAAAGAACCUACGUAAAAUAAACUUUUGAAAAAAAAUUUUAAGUUGGGGCAACUUUGGAGCAAAACACAACCUCCAAGAACAAGGCAUCGCCUAAACAUAGGCCUACGAGCCAAAACUACCUGGACCCAGUACUACUGAUUAACGAACCAAGUUACCCCAGGGAUAACAGCGCCAUCUUCUUCAAGAGUUCAUAUCGACAAGAAGGUUUACGACCUCGAUGUUGGAUCAGGACACCCAAAUGGUGCAGCCGCUAUUAAAGGUUCGUUUGUUCAACGAUUAAUCGU
rnacentral:rRNA from 1 species